AUUGAACGCUGGCGGCAUGCCUUACACAUGCAAGUCGAACGGUAACAGGUUAAGCUGACGAGUGGCGAACGGGUGAGUAAUGUAUCGGAACGUGCCCAGUCGUGGGGGAUAACUGCUCGAAAGAGCAGCUAAUACCGCAUACGACCUGAGGGUGAAAGCGGGGGAUCGCAAGACCUCGCGCGAUUGGAGCGGCCGAUAUCAGAUUAGGUAGUUGGUGAGGUAAAGGCUCACCAAGCCGACGAUCUGUAGCUGGUCUGAGAGGACGACCAGCCACACUGGGACUGAGACACGGCCCAGACUCCUACGGGAGGCAGCAGUGGGGAAUUUUGGACAGUGGGCGCAAGCCUGAUCCAGCCAUGCCGCGUGCGGGAAGAAGGCCUUCGGGUUGUAAACCGCUUUUGUCAGGGAAGAAAAGGUUCUGGCUAAUACCUGGGACUCAUGACGGUACCUGAAGAAUAAGCACCGGCUAACUACGU
rnacentral:rRNA from 1 species